UGAGGAAUAUUGGACAAUGGGCGCAAGCCUGAUCCAGCAAUGCCGCGUGCAGGAUGAAGGCCUUCGGGUUGUAAACUGCUUUUGUACGGAGCGAAAAGGUCUGCCCUAAUACGGUGGGCUCAUGACGGUACCGUAAGAAUAAGCACCGGCUAACUACGUGCCAGCAGCCGCGGUAAUACGUAGGGUGCGAGCGUUAAUCGGAAUUACUGGGCGUAAAGCGUGCGCAGGCGGUUAAAUAAGACAGAUGUGAAAUCCCCGGGCUCAACCUGGGACCUGCAUUUGUGACUGUAUAGCUAGAGUACGGUAGAGGGGGAUGGAAUUCCGCGUGUAGCAGUGAAAUGCGUAGAUAUGCGGAGGAACACCGAUGGCGAAGGCAAUCCCCUGGACCUGUACUGACGCUCAUGCACGAAAGCGUGGGGAGCAAACA
rnacentral:rRNA from 1 species